AUCUUCCGCAAUAGACGAAAGUCUGACGGACCAGCGCCGCUUGAGUGAUGAAGGUUUUCGGCUCGUAAAACUCGGUUGGUAUGGAAGAACAAGUAUCCGAGUCACUGCCGUUAGCUUGUCGGUGCCUGACGAGAAAGCCACGGCUAACUACGUGCCAGCCGCCGCGGUAAUACGUAGGUGGCACGCGUUGUCCGGAUUUAUUGGGCGUAAAGAGGGCGCAGGCGGUCUUUUAAGUCUGAUGUGAAAUCUUACAGCUUAACUGUAAGCGGUCAUUGGAAACUGGGAAACUUGAGUGCAGAAGAGGAGAGUGGAAUUCCAUGUGUAGCGGUGAAAUGCGUAGAGAUAUGGAGGAACACCAGAGGCGAAGGCGACUCUCUGGUCUGUAACUGACGCUGAGGCGCGAAAGCGUGGGGAUCAAACA
rnacentral:rRNA from 1 species